GAUGGGGAUUUAUUUGAAUUAAAAUUCAAAGUAUUUUAAUCUGCUAGACCCUCAUGGAAGAGGCACCUUUGCAGAGUUCCCGCCAUACCCACUGCACUUCAAGCAAAAGCACAGUCACUCUUCCCAUCACUCUACAUAACACCUAAAAGAGUGUUGUGAAGAGGAAAAAAAGAAAAAUUUCACAAAAAAGAGCCAAAUGUCUAUUAACUGAGUGAAAACAUUAACUUUUAAUUUCCCGCCCAGGCUACGCUCUUCAAACCUGUGUGUUUCCCGCACCCCUGGGAAGGCGAAGGGAAGGAGCUACAUUGUCAAGUGUGGUCCAGCAAGUAAGCAGGUCCUGAGCACCAGACAUAUCACAGGCACUCACUGCUUGGACCCACCAGUCAACAGGAGCCUGCUAGAUACAGCCAUGUGCCACUCCAACCUCCCUGAGGGCAUGGCCUAUGCACUCUUUGGACCCCAAAGGAAAAUGCAAGCUCCUUUCUCAGUUGGUACAGCAAAAUCGACGAAGCUAAUAUGGAUUUUGAUCAAGCAAAUUAGCAUUGAGAUUCCAGUUCUACUAUGUAAUAAAUGGCCUUAAACAAAUUAUUUUUGUGAGUACACAUUUUCUCACUCAGAUAAAUGAAACUAAUAAUGUCUUAACGAGAAAUUAGGAGGAUUAAAAGAGAAGUAUGAAAAGUAUGAACAAUAAUCUAAUACAGAAUCAGUGGGUCUAUAUUUAAAAUUGUCUUCUUCCUUCUGUAGUAAAAACAUAAAGUUGGCCAGGCGCAGUGGCUCACGCCUGUAAUCCCAGCACUUUGGGAGGCCAAGGCGGGCAGGUCACGAGGUCAGAGGGUCGAGACCAUCCUGACUAACACAAUGAAACCCCAUCUCUACUAAAAAUACAAAAAAAUUAGCCGGGCGUGGUGGUGGGCACCUGUAGUCCCAGCUACUCGGGAAGCUGAGGCAGGAGAAUGGCGUGAACCCGGGAGGCGGAGCUUGCAGUGAGCCGAGAUCGCGCCACUGCACGCCAGCCUGGGCGACAGAGCAAGACUCCGUCUCAAAAAAAAAAAAAAAAUGUUAAAAAUAGCUAUCAGUAUCUAUUGCUAGUCUAUAUAUGCAAUUUGUUCAAGUGAUUCUUUUCAAAUUAAGAGGAAGAGGAAG
rnacentral:lncRNA from 1 species